rnacentral:rRNA from 1 species
GGCUCCUUGUCUAUAGUAAAUAAGGAGUCGGACCUGCCCGGUGAAUAUUUUAACGGCCGCGGUACUCUGACCGUGCAAAGGUAGCAUAAUCAUUUGCCUUAUAAUUGAAGGCUGGUAUGAAUGGUUUGACAAGAAUGUAACUGUCUCUUUAUGAUUUAUCAGAAUUUUAUCUUCAGGUGAAGAAGCCUGUAUAAUAUUAAUAGACAAGAAGACCCUAUCGAGCUUAAAAGAAAUUAAUAGCCUAAGUUAAUAAAUUUAAAAAAUCAACUACUAAAAUAUUUUAGUUGGGGCGAUUGGGGAACAAAAAAAGCUUCCUUUAACAAUCUUUAAUCCAAAUGAGUGCUGAUCCAAAACAUUUUGAUUAGAUAAACUAGUUACCGUAGGGAUAACAGCAUUAUCUUUUUUAAGAGUUCUUAUCGAAAAAAAGGUUUGUGACCUCGAUGUUGGAUCAGAAUAUCCUAAAGAUGCAACAGUCUUUAAGGGUUGGUCUGUUCGACCAUUAAAAUUUUACG